rnacentral:rRNA from 1 species
UGAACGCUAGCUACAGGCUUAACACAUGCAAGUCGAGGGGCAUCAGGAAGAAAGCUUGCUUUCUUUGCUGGCGACCGGCGCACGGGUGAGUAACACGUAUCCAACCUGCCCUUUACUCGGGGAUAGCCUUUCGAAAGAAAGAUUAAUACCCGAUAGCAUAAUGAUUCCGCAUGGUUUCAUUAUUAAAGGAUUCCGGUAAAGGAUGGGGAUGCGUUCCAUUAGGUUGUUGGUGAGGUAACGGCCCACCAAGCCUUCGAUGGAUAGGGGUUCUGAGAGGAAGGUCCCCCACAUUGGAACUGAGACACGGUCCAAACUCCUACGGGAGGCAGCAGUGAGGAAUAUUGGUCAAUGGGCGCUAGCCUGAACCAGCCAAGUAGCGUGAAGGAUGAAGGCUCUAUGGGUCGUAAACUUCUUUUAUAUAAGAAUAAAGUGCAGUAUGUAUACUGUUUUGUAUGUAUUAUAUGAAUAAGGAUCGGCUAACUCCGUGCCAGCAGCCGCGGUAAUACGGAGGAUCCGAGCGUUAUCCGGAUUUAUUGGGUUUAAAGGGAGCGUAGGUGGACUGGUAAGUCAGUUGUGAAAGUUUGCGGCUCAACCGUAAAAUUGCAGUUGAUACUGUCAGUCUUGAGUACAGUAGAGGUGGGCGGAAUUCGUGGUGUAGCGGUGAAAUGCUUAGAUAUCACGAAGAACUCCGAUUGCGAAGGCAGCUCACUGGACUGCAACUGACACUGAUGCUCGAAAGUGUGGGUAUCAAACAGGAUUAGAUACCCUGGUAGUCCACACAGUAAACGAUGAAUACUCGCUGUUUGCGAUAUACAGUAAGCGGCCAAGCGAAAGCAUUAAGUAUUCCACCUGGGGAGUACGCCGGCAACGGUGAAACUCAAAGGAAUUGACGGGGGCCCGCACAAGCGGAGGAACAUGUGGUUUAAUUCGAUGAUACGCGAGGAACCUUACCCGGGCUUAAAUUGCAGUGGAAUGAUGUGGAAACAUGUCAGUGAGCAAUCACCGCUGUGAAGGUGCUGCAUGGUUGUCGUCAGCUCGUGCCGUGAGGUGUCGGCUUAAGUGCCAUAACGAGCGCAACCCUUAUCUUUAGUUACUAACAGGUUAUACUGAGGACUCUAGAGAGACUGCCGUCGUAAGAUGUGAGGAAGGUGGGGAUGACGUCAAAUCAGCACGGCCCUUACGUCCGGGGCUACACACGUGUUACAAUGGGGGGUACAGAAGGCAGCUAGCGGGUGACCGUAUGCUAAUCCCAAAAUCCUCUCUCAGUUCGGAUCGAAGUCUGCAACCCGACUUCGUGAAGCUGGAUUCGCUAGUAAUCGCGCAUCAGCCACGGCGCGGUGAAUACGUUCCCGGGCCUUGUACACACCGCCCGUCAAGCCAUGGGAGCCGGGGGUACCUGAAGUACGUAACCGCAAGGAUCGUCCUAGGGUAAAACUGGU